UACGAAGGGGGCUAGCGUUGCUCGGAUUGACUGGGCGUAAAGGGCGCGUAGGCGGCGGACACAGUCAGACGUGAAAUUCCCGGGCUCAACCUGGGGGCUGCGUUUGAUACAUGUCUGCUUGAGUUCGGAAGAGGGUCGUGGAAUUCCCAGUGUAGAGGUGAAAUUCGUAGAUAUUGGGAAGAACACCGGUGGCGAAGGCGGCGACCUGGUCCGAUACUGACGCUGAGGCGCGAAAGCGUGGGGAGCAAACAGG
rnacentral:rRNA from 1 species